UGGAUAAUCAACCUCUUGCUCUGGAAUACCCCGGGGAAACUCGGAUCAAUGCCAGAUAAAGUGCGGUGCUGUUGGGCGCCGUACCAAAGAUAGCUUCGGCCUUCGGCGAGAGACGAGUCCGCGGCCCAUUAGCUAGUUGGCGGGGUAAUGGCCCACCAAGGCUACGAUGGGUAGCUGGUCUGAGGAGGAUGAUCAGCCACACGUGGGACUGAGACGACCGGCCCAGACUCCCGUAACGGGG
rnacentral:rRNA from 1 species